rnacentral:rRNA from 1 species
AAAAAAGGUAAGCUACUAAGAGCGAAUGGUGGAUGCCUUGACUGGUAAAGGCGAUGAAGGACGUACUAGACUGCGAUAAGCUACGGGGAGCUGUCAAGAAGCUUUGAUCCGUAGAUUUCCGAAUGGGGCAACCCAAUGUAUAGAGAUAUACAUUACCUAUAUAGGAGCGAACGAGGGGAAUUGAAACAUCUUAGUACCCUCAGGAAAAGAAAUCAAUAGAGAUUGCGUCAGUAGCGGCGAGCGAAAGCGUAAGAGGGCAAACCCAGUGCUUGCACUGGGGGUUGUAGGACUGCAAUGUGCAAGAGGUGAGUUUAGCAGAACAUUCUGGAAAGUAUAGCCAUAGAGGGUGAUAGUCCCGUAUGCGAAAAACAAACCUUAGCUAGCAGUAUCCUGAGUAGGGCGGGACACGAGAAAUCCUGUCUGAAGCUGGGUCGACCACGAUCCAACCCUAAAUACUAAUACCAGAUCGAUAGUGCACAAGUACCGUGAGGGAAAGGUGAAAAGAACUGAGGUGAUCAGAGUGAAAUAGAACCUGAAACCAUUUGCUUACAAUCAUUCAGAGCACUAUGUAGCAAUACAGUGUGAUGGACUGCCUUUUGCAUAAUGAGCCUGCGAGUUGUGGUGUCUGGCAAGGUUAAGCAAACGCGAAGCCGUAGCGAAAGCGAGUCUGAAUAGGGCGCUUAGUCAGAUGCUGCAGACCCGAAACGAAGUGAUCUAUCCAUGAGCAAGUUGAAGCUAGUGUAAGAACUAGUGGAGGACUGAACCCAUAGGCGUUGAAAAGCCCCGGGAUGACUUGUGGAUAGGGGUGAAAGGCCAAUCAAACUUCGUGAUAGCUGGUUCUCUCCGAAAUAUAUUUAGGUAUAGCGUUGUGUCGUAAUAUAAGGGGGUAGAGCACUGAAUGGGCUAGGGCAUACACCAAUGUACCAAACCCUAUCAAACUCCGAAUACCUUAUAUGUAAUCACAGCAGUCAGGCGGCGAGUGAUAAAAUCCGUCGUCAAGAGGGAAACAACCCAGACUACCAGCUAAGGUCCCUAAAUCUUACUUAAGUGGAAAACGAUGUGAAGUUACUUAAACAACCAGGAGGUUGGCUUAGAAGCAGCCAUCCUUUAAAGAAAGCGUAAUAGCUCACUGGUCUAGUGAUUUUGCGCGGAAAAUAUAACGGGGCUAAAGUAAGUACCGAAGCUGUAGACUUGUGCACAACUUAGAUUAUUUAAGUUUAGAAUAUGAGAAACUAAGUUAUAUGUUUAGUUAUAUUUUUACUGAUUUUUAUAGAGUAAAGAUAGAAAUAAAACUUAGUAAAAUCAGUAAAAAUAUUCUUAGACUAAAGUUAAGUAGUUUAAGUUGUGUGCAAGUGGUAGGAGAGCGUUCUAUUUGCGUCGAAGGUAUACCGGUAAGGAGUGCUGGAGCGAAUAGAAGUGAGCAUGCAGGCAUGAGUAGCGAUAAUUAAUGUGAGAAUCAUUAACGCCGUAAACCCAAGGUUUCCUACGCGAUGCUCGUCAUCGUAGGGUUAGUCGGGUCCUAAGUCGAGUCCGAAAGGGGUAGACGAUGGCAAAUUGGUUAAUAUUCCAAUACCAACAUUAGUGUGCGAUGGAAGGACGCUUAGGGCUAAGGGGGCUAGCGGAUGGAAGUGCUAGUCUAAGGUCGUAGGAGGUUAUACAGGCAAAUCCGUAUAACAAUACUCCGAGAACUGAAAGGCUUUUUGAAGUCUUCGGAUGGAUAGAAGAACCCCUGAUGCCGUCGAGCCAAGAAAAGUUUCUAAGUUUAGCUAAUGUUGCCCGUACCGUAAACCGACACAGGUGGGUGGGAUGAGUAUUCUAAGGCGCGUGGAAGAACUCUCUUUAAGGAACUCUGCAAAAUAGCACCGUAUCUUCGGUAUAAGGUGUGGUUCGCUUCGUAUUAGGAUUUACUCCGAAAGCGAAGAAACUUACAACAAAGAGUCCCUCCCGACUGUUUACCAAAAACACAGCACUCUGCUAACUCGUAAGAGGAUGUAUAGGGUGUGACGCCUGCCCGGUGCUCGAAGGUUAAUUGAUGGGGUUAGCAUUAGCGAAGCUCUUGAUCGAAGCCCGAGUAAACGGCGGCCGUAACUAUAACGGUCCUAAGGUAGCGAAAUUCCUUGUCGGUUAAAUACCGACCUGCAUGAAUGGCGUAACGAGAUGGGAGCUGUCUCAAAGAGGGAUCCAGUGAAAUUGUAGUGGAGGUGAAAAUUCCUCCUACCCGCGGCAAGACGGAAAGACCCCGUGGACCUUUACUACAGCUUGACACUGCUAUUUGGAUAAGAAUGUGCAGGAUAGGUGGGAGGCUUUGAGUAUAUGACGCCAGUUGUAUAUGAGCCAUUGUUGAGAUACCACUCUUUCUUAUUUGGGUAGCUAACCAGCUUGAGUUAUCCUCAAGUGGGACAAUGUCUGGUGGGUAGUUUGACUGGGGCGGUCGCCUCCCAAAUAAUAACGGAGGCUUACAAAGGUUGGCUCAGAACGGUUGGAAAUCGUUCGUAGAGUAUAAAGGUAUAAGCCAGCUUAACUGCAAGACAUACAAGUCAAGCAGAGACGAAAGUCGGUCUUAGUGAUCCGGUGGUUCUGUGUGGAAGGGCCAUCGCUCAAAGGAUAAAAGGUACCCCGGGGAUAACAGGCUGAUCUCCCCCAAGAGCUCACAUCGACGGGGAGGUUUGGCACCUCGAUGUCGGCUCAUCGCAUCCUGGGGCUGGAGCAGGUCCCAAGGGUAUGGCUGUUCGCCAUUUAAAGCGGUACGCGAGCUGGGUUCAGAACGUCGUGAGACAGUUCGGUCCCUAUCUGCCGUGGGCGUAAGAAGAUUGAAGAGAUUUGACCCUAGUACGAGAGGACCGGGUUGAACAAACCACUGGUGUAGCUGUUGUUCUGCCAAGAGCAUCGCAGCGUAGCUAAGUUUGGAAAGGAUAAACGCUGAAAGCAUCUAAGCGUGAAGCCAACUCUAAGAUGAAUCUUCUCUAAGCUCUCUAGAAGACUACUAGUUUGAUAGGCUGGGUGUGUAAUGGAUGAAAGUCCUUUAGCUGACCAGUACUAAUAGAGCGUUUGGCUUAUCUUUAAUAAAGCAU